UAAUAUUUUGAUGUUAUCUGUUUAG
rnacentral:piRNA from 1 species